rnacentral:misc_RNA from 1 species
GAAAUGCGAUACGUAGUGUGAAUUGCAGAAUCCAGUGAAUCAUCGAAUCUUUGAACGCACAUUGCGCCCUUGGGUAUUCCUGGGGGCAUGCCUGUUUGAGAACCUUGACGUACCUCACACCCCACCUUGGUGUUUUAGCUUCGGCGAAAUGAUCCUCACUGGUGCGGGUUCGUGGACCUGGGUCUGUUCUUUUUCUCACGAAAAAGAGGCCUUAAAUGAAAUGU